rnacentral:rRNA from 1 species
GACGAACGCUGGCGGCGUGCUUAACACAUGCAAGUCGAACGGAAAGGCCCUGCUUUUGUGGGGUGCUCGAGUGGCGAACGGGUGAGUAACACGUGAGUAACCUGCCCUUGACUUUGGGAUAACUUCAGGAAACUGGGGCUAAUACCGGAUAGGAGCUCCUGCUGCAUGGUGGGGGUUGGAAAGUUUCGGCGGUUGGGGAUGGACUCGCGGCUUAUCAGCUUGUUGGUGGGGUAGUGGCUUACCAAGGCUUUGACGGGUAGCCGGCCUGAGAGGGUGACCGGCCACAUUGGGGCUGCGAUACGGCCCAGACUCCUACGGGAGGCAGCAGUGGGGGAUAUUGCACAAUGGGCGGAAGCCUGAUGCAGCAACGCCGCGUGCGGGAUGACGGCCUUCGGGUUGUAAACCGCUUUCGCCUGUGACGAAGCGUGAGUGACGGUAAUGGGUAAAGAAGCACCGGCUAACUACGUG